UAGCUCACUGGUCGAGUCGGCCUGCGCGGAAGAUGUAACGGGGCUAAACCAUGCACCGAAGCUGCGGCAGCGACACUGUGUGUUGUUGGGUAGGGGAGCGUUCUGUAAGCCUGUGAAGGUGUACUGUGAGGUAUGCUGGAGGUAUCAGAAGUGCGAAUGCUGACAUAAGUAACGAUAAAGCGGGUGAAAAGCCCGCUCGCCGGAAGACCAAGGGUUCCUGUCCAACGUUAAUCGGGGCAGGGUGAGUCGACCCCU
rnacentral:rRNA from 1 species